rnacentral:rRNA from 1 species
CGAAUUCCGCUCUCAAAAUGUACUUAACCAUUGUUGCGGUUAAAAAGCUCGUAGUUGGAUUUUUGCGACGCGAAGUGGUUCGUUUUUUGAACGUUUACUGCUUUGUAUCGCUCUGUUUUGAUGGUUUUUGGCUGGUGCCUUUCGCGAGGUGUUAGUCGUGACUGUCGAGUUUACUUUGAAUUAAUUAGAGUGCUCAAUACAGGCGUUUUGCUUGAAUAUUCUAGCAUGGAAUAAUGGAAUAGGACUUUUGUUCGAUUUUAUUGGUUUUAUGAAUAAAAGUAAUGAUUAGUAGGAAUAAACGGGGGCAUUCGUAUUGUUACGUUAGAGGUGAAAUUCUUGGACCGUAGCAAGACGAUCUACUGCGAAAGCAUUUGCCAAGAAUGUUUUCAUUAAUCAAGAACGAAAGUUANGGGUUCGAAGGCGAUCAGAUACCGCCCUAGUCCUAACCCUAAACUCUGCCAACUAGCGAUCCGUCGAUGGUAUUUUUGCCUUGAUGGGGAGCUAAUCGGAAACGAAAGUCUUCCGGUUCCGGGGGAAGUAUGGUUGCAAAGCUGAAACUUAAAGAAAUUGACGGAAGGGCACCCCAAGAGUGGAACCUGCGGCUUAAUUUG